CAGAGUUGCAAAACUCCCAACCAUUGUGAACUUACCUCACCGUUGCUUCGGCGGGUGGCCCGCUAACCACGGGCCGCGCCGGCUGCUCCUCCAGGGCAUCCGGCACCCCGCCAGAGGCCCGAAACUCUUUGUCAUCAGUGGCCUCUCUGAGUAACUUAUACAAUAAGUCA
rnacentral:misc_RNA from 1 species